CCUACGGGUGGCAGCAGUGGGGAAUAUUGGGCAAUGGAGGAAACUCUGACCCAGCAACGCCGCGUGAAGGAUGAAGGCCUUCGGGUUGUAAAGUUCUUUUCUAAGGGAAGACGAAAGUGACGGUACCUGAGGAAUAAGCCUCGGCUAACUACGUGCCAGCAGCCGCGGUAAUACGUAGGAGGCGAGCGUUAUCCGGAUUGACUGGGUGUAAAGGGUGAGUAGGUGGGGUGGCAAGUUAGUAGCGUAACUCCAAGGCUCAACCUUGGAACUGCAACUAAAACUGUUGUACUUGAGUGCAGGAGAGGCAAGCGGAAUUCGUGGUGUAGCGGUGGAAUGCGUAGAUAUGAGGAGGAACACCAGUGGCGAAGGCGGGUUGCUAGACUGUAACUGACACUGAGGCGCGAAAGCGUGGGGAGCAAACAGGAUUAGAUACCCUUGUAGUC
rnacentral:rRNA from 1 species